AGCUUUGCACAGUGGUGGUAUUGUAGCCAAUGAGGUUUAUCUGAGGUGUGAUUAUUGCUAAUUGAAAACUUUUCCCAACACUCUACCAUGACAACUUGCAAUAUAGUAGGCAUUGGCAAA
rnacentral:snRNA from 1 species